rnacentral:rRNA from 1 species
UACGUAGGGUGCGAGCGUUGUCCGGAAUUAUUGGGCGUAAAGAGCUCGUAGGCGGUUUGUUGCGUCUAUCGUGAAAGCCUGCGGCUUAACUGUGGGCUUGCGGUGGAUACGGGCAGACUUGAGUUCGGUAGGGGAGACUGGAAUUCCUGGUGUAGCGGUGAAAUGCGCAGAUAUCAGGAGGAACACCGGUGGCGAAGGCGGUUCUCUGGGCAUGUCCUGACGCUGAGGAGCGAAAGUGUGGGGAGCGAACAGG